CCUACGGGUGGCUGCAGUCGAGGAUCUUCGGCAAUGGGCGCAAGCCCGACCGAGCGACGCCGCGUGCGGGAUGAAGGCCCUCGGGUUGUAAACCGCUGUCGUGGGGGAGGAAAGCCUUCGGGCUUGACCUAUCCCAGGAGGAAGCACGGGCUAAGUUCGUGCCAGCAGCCGCGGUAAGACGAACCGUGCGAACGUUGUUCGGAUUCACUGGGCUUAAAGGGCGCGUAGGCGGGCCGCGGGGUCGUGGGUGAAAGCGUCCGGCUCAACCGGACAAUUGCCUGCGAUACCGGCGGCCUCGAGGGGGGUAGGGGCGGUGGGAACUUCCGGUGGAGCGGUGAAAUGCGUUGAGAUCGGAAGGAACGCCGGUGGCGAAAGCGCACCGCUGGGCCCCCCCUGACGCUGAGGCGCGAAAGCCAGGGGAGCAAACGGGAUUAGAUACC
rnacentral:rRNA from 1 species